GGGGGUCUAAUUGCGUGCGCGUAUGGAUGCUCCUUACCCCGCCGCCUUUCUAGCAACUAGAAAUGUUAUGAUGUAUCGUUGGUCCGGUGUACGACGGCGCCUGGUGCGAUAUAUGCGUCCGGAAGCCCUUUCAGCCUCCCAGGCAUGUCCCACCUGCCUCACAGCCACCGACGCAUCUCACGGCGGGGUUCUAAUUGCGUGCGCGUAUGGAUGCUCCUUACCCCGCCGCCUUUCUAGCAACUAGUUGAUCUUAUGAUGCAUCGGUGGUCCGGCGUACGACGGCGCCUGGUGCGAUUUAUGCGUCCGGAAGCCCUUUCAGCCUCCAGGCAUGUCCCCACCUGCCUCACAGCCGCCGACGCAUCUCACGGCGGGGUUCUAAUUGCGUGCGCGUAUGGAUGCUUCUUUCCCCGCCGCCUUUCUAACAACUAGUUAUGUUAUGAUGCUUCGUUGGUCCGGCGUACGACGGCGCCUGAUGCGAUUUAUGCGUCCGGAAGCCCUUUCAGCCUCCAGGCAUGUCCCCACCUGCCUCACAGCCACCGACGCAUCUCACGGCGGGGUUCUAAUUGCGUGACCGUAUGGAUGCUCCUAUUCCUGCCGCCUUUCUAGCAACUAGAAAUGUUAUGAUGUAUCGUUGGUCCGGCGUACGACGGCGCCUGGUGCGAUAUAUGCGUCCGGAAGCCCUUUCAGCCUCCAGGCAUGUCCCCACCUGCCUCACAGCCACCGACGCAUCUCACGGCGGGGUUCUAAUUGCGUGACCGUAUGGAUGCUCCUAUUGCUGCCGCCUUUCUAACAACUAGAAAUAUUAUGAUGCUUCGUUGGUCCGGCGUACGACGGCGCCUGGUGCGAUUUAUGCGUCCGGAAGCCCUUUCAGCCUCCCAGGCAUGUCCCACCUGCCUCACAGCCACCGACGC
rnacentral:lncRNA from 1 species